UACGUAGGUGUCAAGCGUUGUCCGGAUUUAUUGGGCUUAAAGGGUGCGUAGGCGGCUUUGUAAGUCAGUGGUGAAAUAUGGCAGCUCAACUGUCAGGGUGCCAUUGAUACUGCAGAGCUUGAGUACAGAUGAGGUAGGCGGAAUUGACGGUGUAGCGGUGAAAUGCUUAGAUAUCGGGAAGAACACCGAUAGCGAAGGCAGCUUACUGGGCUGUAACUGACGCUGAGGCACGAAAGUGUGGGGAUCAAACAGG
rnacentral:rRNA from 1 species